rnacentral:pre_miRNA from 1 species
UGAGUAAAUGUUUAUUGGAUGAAUAAAUGAAUGACUCAUCAACAAACAUUUAUUGUGUG